rnacentral:rRNA from 1 species
GAUGAACGCUGGCGGCGUGCCUAAUACAUGCAAGUCGAGCGAACGGACGAGAAGCUUGCUCCUCUGAUGUUAGCGGCGGACGGGUGAGUAACACGUGGAUAACCUACCUAUAAGACUGGGAUAACUUCGGGAAACCGGAGCUAAUACCGGAUAAUAUUUUGAACCGCAUGGUUCAAAAGUGAAAGACGGUCUUGCUGUCACUUAUAGAUGGAUCCGCGCUGCAUUAGCUAGUUGGUAAGGUAACGGCUUACCAAGGCAACGAUGCAUAGCCGACCUGAGAGGGUGAUCGGCCACACUGGAACUGAGACACGGUCCAGACUCCUACGGGAGGCAGCAUUAGGGAAUCUUCCGCAAUGGGCGAAAGCCUGACGGAGCAACGCCGCGUGAGUGAUGAAGGUCUUCGGAUCGUAAAACUCUGUUAUUAGGGAAGAACAUAUGUGUAAGUAACUGUGCACAUCUUGACGGUACCUAAUCAGAAAGCCACGGCUAACUACGUG